UACGGAGUAACACACACAAAAAACCAUUUACCACCCACUAAUCCACGAUGUACGCGGUUCAUCAGAUCUCAUCUCCCCAAGAACCCUAAACUUAACUUUUCAUUCACAAUUAGAUCCCCCGUCGAAAAUUUUAAGGGUUCCUUUCAAUCCAAAAUUGCCGAGUUUCCUUCAAUCCGAAAUUUGUCGAGUUCAUUUGCGGUUUUGCGGUUUUGUGGUUUCGCGGUUCUUCUUGUUAAGCUGUUCUGAAAUUUGCGUUUUACAGGGGAUGCAGUCCAAGAGAAUUUUGAAGGAGCUCAAGGAGAAAGAUCCUCCUACUUCUCGGACUCAUGAGAUGAAAUUAUUGAGUGGGAUAAGGAAGUUAAACAGCUAGGUAAGACACUCUUAAGGCUAUUCUCUCAAAGAUUGGGAGUGGAGGCAGUUGAUCGAAAGAGAUGUCAUGUUCAGGAGGCAGAGUUAUGGUUGGCCAUUGUUAUCCAUAUUGUCCCGAGCCCAACAAGACAGGUGGGAUCGCGUCCCAUACUGAUCCUGGCGUUCUCACAGUGUUGCUGCAGAAUCAAUUUGGUGGGUUGCAAGUUAAACAUGAGGGGAAAUGGGUUAAUGUCAAGCAAUCCAAGGUGCACUUAUUAUCAAUGUUGGCAACUUGCUUCAGCAUGAACCACAGGUCUCAAUUGCUUUGUUCUUCAACUGUAGCAUGAGGGAGAACUUGUAUGGAUCGAUACCUGCACUACACAACCAUCGGAUUAUUCUAAUGAGGAGUUGGAGCAUGAGCUCUUUCUUGCUUCCUCGGUGCAAUAUUUCAACCAAGGUAUUAAUUUACAAAUGAUUCUAGUUUGUUAAACUUGAUUUCCCCAUAACAAUGAAGAAUAAAGUGUCUUGAUCUUUAAAGAUUGAGGGUUAUGUGCAAUUUAUGAGUAUAAUAUCUAUCCUGUAUGAAACACAGAUAUUUCCCUCCCCAAUAUGUGUAUAGUUUUUUCCCUGUAUAUAGUCACUGCUCAGGUUCUGAGACUUUAAACACCAGGUUCAUGUUUAUAGGAGGAGGCUGGAUUAACAGAAAUUAUUCAAAUAAAAAACAAUUAGAAAGAGAGUGAAAAGUACAUUUUCAGAAGACAUAAGGAGGAGAGACAGAAAGAGUAGGCUGCAGAGAGUAGGGAGUACUAUGGUGUGCAUAACCCUACAUACAGCAUAAUAGGACUUAUCAGGAAAUAGAUAAAAAAUUGAGAAAGAGUUACGGAUUUCCGACUAGCUAGUGUUGAUGUGACAUUGAUAGGGUCUGAUAGUGUAUGGAUCAAAUGUAUUACUGUAGUUUGUAAUCUAUCUAUACAUUAUGAGAUGGUAAGAAUUUUGAAAUGGUAAGAAUUUUUGACUGAAAACUAAACCUUUGUAAUUUUUCUAAUCUACCAUACAAACUUGUGAUGUUUGAGUUUAUGGCCUCUUACUUUCUAUAUUAAGCACUUAGCUCCUUCCAUUUUAAUGCGGAAAUCAGGCAUGCUUUUAGCAUAUGUGGUUGAAGAAUUUUGAGCUACUUCUUCAUAGUAGUAUACAAGUUUGUUGUCCGUCUAUCACAAAGUACCUUUUAAGAUACCGGUUGAUAUUCCAGGAAUCAAGGAUAAGGAUACUGAAUUAGUGUUGGCUUGACUCUUGGAGGUCUUCCACUUUAUUUUUCUUCUAAUAUUCCAAAUAUAUCUUUGAUUGCCUCAUAGCGUGACACUGAUGAUUCAGUUGACUGACUUUCAAGAGUAAACAUCUCUUCCCUAUAGAUGUAUUUCUUUGUAAAAUAGCUUAUUGUGAUGGGACUAAGUGGACUUUGAUUAUACUUCUACUAGCCAAGUCCUUUUGCCCGCCAAUAUUCUUUUCCAUCCACCCUUUUUCUUGCCAUCCAUGAAUUUGGCAUCAGCAUUUCUAGUAGUAGAGGCCACAACUGGGUUUGACCUUAAUUCCCUCGUUUGUUCCUCUGUUGAAUGAUACUCUUAUUUUCUCCUCUAACUCUUCUCCUUACGUAUUUAUGGAUUAGUCAUGUAUUCAGAAAACCUUGAUGAGACAGAAGACUAAUAGGCUCAAUAGCAAAUCCUUUAUUUCCAUCUUUUCACAUAACUCAUAUUCUUAGCAUUGUACUUCGUAUAUAUUUUUGCAUAGCAGGUAGGCAGGUAGCUUUACAAAACUAGUAUGUGUUAAUUGAUCAACUAUUUAAGAACCGAAGAAUUUGACGUCUGGCUUAAAUUUUACUUAGCAAAGGGAUUUAGCUGUUUAAAAUCCCUUGUCUUUACUUCAUGUAAAUUCUAUCUAUUGUUUGCAACAACUCUGUGUUUUGUCUGAUGAGGGACGAGUUGUUGAGGUUGCUCAAAAGCGGUGGAGAAUUGAGAUAAAUUCAAACCAAGAUGAGGUUCUAAUGCUUUCUUCAGUGACAUUGCCUGAUGGCAUCCAGGUUCAUUGUAUGGAGUAUAUUUUUCUUAAUUGCUUUUCAUGUUUUCGGUGUCCGCACAAUUUCUCCAUGUUGGAUAUUGUUACUUGGAAUUUCUCAUGCACCUUCUAUUGAAGUAGGAGUAUCUGAAUUUUGUGUUUUGAACUGUAGGCAGUAUUUAGUUAAAACUCUUUCUGCUUAUAGCCUUCCAGGAUGGUGAUUGUUUAUUUAUUCGUCUUAUUUCUAUUAACAAUUUAGUGGGAUUGAUUACUUCUACUUUGUUUUCUCAAUACUUUACUUUUUCAUCAUGUUGCUCAAUAAGGUCAACCGUCAGUGCACUAUCCAAUAUCUUAAGUUCAGGUAUUAAGUUCCUGGUACUGAUUUGUGAUGUCCUAGCCUUAAAGUUCUUGGGAAUUGACCUGGUUCCCUUAACUAUGACUCUAGGUAUAGAAAACCGAAAACUAGAAAUGCGAAAAUUACACCUUGCUUUUGGGUCAAUUGGAAACAACCUCUCUGCAAAUGCAGGGGUAAGGUUGCGUGCACCCGACCCCCCCUUCUCGCGGGAGCCUCUUUGAGGCAAUGGGGUAAUGAUAAUGAUGAUGAUAAUGGAUGUUCAUAUUUGCCUUUCUAAUAAUAAUAAUGGGCUGUACUUUUGUUGAUUUGGUAAAUAAAAUAUCUGGUAUGUUUGGGCCGUUUCUCUAGCUCUUAUUUUUCUUGAACAAAGAUACAUGUUUGCAUAGCUCUUUUUUGUUUUUGAAGUGAAAUAGGAUUGAUUAAAAUGAGCACUAAGUGGAUACAAAUACAAGUAUGUCUUUUGAUUAUGUUUAUUAAAAUUUUUAUUUUUUUUGAAUAGUAUUCAUAAAUAAUUGAUUUAUUUUUCUUGUGCAUUGUCCUCUGCAAAAGAAUGUCAUGGAUUCUGGAUAUUAUGUCACGAGAUUCAUGUAAGAGAUCAUCGACCAUAAGCAAACUUGAAUAUUUGAAGAUUACUUUCAUGAUUGCAAUGUUCCGAAUUAUGAUCAAGAACAAAUUGAUGAAGUCAGAGCUCAAGGAUGCGUCAUGAUCCUUGUGAAUAUUAUGGUGUAUUAAUUAUGUUUUUCGACUGGAAAUUGUCUACAGCUUUCUAAUUUUAGUAUGUUGAUUUGAAAUUAAAAGAAGGAUUAUGUGACACAUAUACUUUUUUUUCUACUGUGUUUAAUUAGGCAAAAUUGUAUAUGAUUUUAAGUUAUAAGACAUGAGACGUUUAUUUGAUAUGAUAGAAAUGAAAUGGGAUGUUAUAUAUAUUCAA